GUUUGCGCUCAUCCAUGACGGGUCGCAGGGGAGGCAGGAAGCAAAGAUGCUCAGACUUGUGAGUCUGUGUGUGUUUAUUUUUGUGUGAGUGUGUUUUCCCUCUCCAGCUGCUGUGAUGUCAUUUCCUGUCAGCUCUGUGUGUCUCUUCACAGACUCCUUUUACACAAUCAUCCACUUCCCUCGUUUCUGGCGGGAGCUCCGUUCCAAACGCGCUACAGGUCAAAUCCAAGAGGGUCAAGGCGGUAAAACUCCCACCUGCACCGUUUCACACUUUUCUCUCCUAAACUCUCAAAGUUCAAACUUUUAUAGAAAAAGACGUCCAAGAUUAAAGAAUGAAACGCAGAUCUGACCAAAGAUUUCUGUGGAUCUGGCUGAACACAUUCUGCACAGGAGACACAGCACAGAGGGGGUUGAUUGACAACUUCAGCAGCCAAUCAGGAUGCAGGAAAAAAAGCACUGGAACAGCGAGACGUGAAAGGUGAACCAUGAGGGACUGCGGUAGCCUCCACCUUGUCUGGCCUUCAUCAUGCUUCUCUGCUAAAUGCUCAGAGGAAAGGAUGGUUCUAUGUCUUAUUUGUAGAGGAAAUGUUUCCGUUUCUGAGACAGUGUCAGUAAAAAUGUGGCGUUUGGACCAUCAAACUGUCCUUUUCUGAUCCAAACCUUUUUGUCCCAGAAGUGUUUUUCAGGCUCUUCUUGCCUGUAUUCCUGCAGUCAGCCAGAGUUCUCUCUGUGAACCAAUCAUCAGGUAUUGAUCUCCUCACGUUGGGGCCACUUUAAGUCUGCCUGGCCGUGCCUGGAGUGCAAGCAAUGCCGUUUGGAUGAAGUGUUUCAGAGUCAGCCGGGCCGAUUUGAUGCUUUAAGGGCCUCUCUGCUCUGAAUAACAAUCUGUCUCCUGACACUUCUGCUAUUGUUUUCCACAGCUCUGCUUAGUGAGUCGAGCGGCGUGACUCCCGCCAGGCUGCAAUGUCAAACGUUUGUCGUGGUCGUUCUGCAGCGUCCGUGCCGCUCAUGCUCGACAAUUAAAAGGUUCAACCGUGUCAUGGAAGUGGAGCAGCGUCGCCCAACACACCUGACCUCUGACCUCCUGGACAGAAAAUUCUGCCUUAAGCUCUGACGAUGGUUAAAAAGACCCUCAGCUCUGCCACGGGAAACACGCUUCCAUCGGGGGGGAGAUGAGAUGACAGGUGAACAUGCUUUAGUCUUUCAUCCAUAGGGAAUCAGAUCAUUCUGAAGUCAUUGUCGGCCAGUGUUGGUGGAAACCUUCCAAAGUGUGCAGCUUCUUCAGUAGUUGUCGGUGCAACACGUUCACACUCCGGUCAGUAAUCUGUAUGGAGAAUUGUUUCAAGUCUUUUCGUGGGAAAGCCGGACGUCUGCAGUCCAAAGGCGGGCAGACGCUGAGGCACCGAGACGAGAGCCGGCCGGAGUUGUGGUGAGGGACGGCUGGUGAACCUGGUUACUGAGGAAACAGACAAAAACAUGGGAACGUUGAAGGCAUCCUGACAAUUUUCUAGUAGACAAACUAGAGAACGUGCAGGUGAGAAGAAAGGACUUCAUAAUGGGUUCAGCUGCAGACCGCGGCGGGAAAGAAUCCCCACAAAAACAAAUUACCAAGAUUUCUUUUUUACAUUCAGGUUGUCCUGAGAUACAAGUCAAGUUGAUAAGAAAAAUAGGAAGACAUUUUUACUUUAAAUGUCUUUUUUACGCGCCAAACAUCAUAGAUAUCUGAGAGGUUUCAUCAAAGUGUAACAAAAAUAAAGAAUGCAUUGUGGGAGAAGUCACGACAGCAGAAACAACAGAGGAAAGGGAAGAAGGACUUCUGCAGUCGUCUGUCUGUCUGGAUGGAGGAAAAGGUGCAGACUGGGGAGCAGUGAUUCCUGCAGACUCUUGACUGCUGUCAGCCGGAUUGACGGGGGAUUAAUGCCGAGAAAGCUGCGGCCAUCACACCCACGAGCAUCCAGGAAAACUUUCAACAGAAAGCAACAAACACACAUCAGGAUGUCUUCCAGCGUGCUCACAGGAACAACAGAAGGCAAAACAAAGGAUGCCAGGCGCUCAGAGGCGGGCUGAAGGAGCUGCAGACAGAAGGCCUGACCUCAGCUCCUCUCACUGGAUCCGGCCGUCACACAGCAGCUCCUCCAGAUCUUCUCCAGAAACAUCCUCAAAGUAAGGAAAUUAAAAGCAGAGAUGUUUUUCCUGUUUCAAAGCAAUAGACCUGUUAUCUACUCCAUCUUAAACAACUAUGUUCCAACUCUGGAAAGCAUUCUUCUGACACUCAGCAAACAUCUCCAGCUCCUCUGGAGGAACGAUCACUGAUUCUCCUGCUGGUCUCCUUGUGUUUCUUAUGUUGUAGAGCCGACAUAUGUGAGACAUUGUAGAAUGGAGUCUGUUGUUCUCUUUAAAUCCUUGACAUGAUUAGUGCCGCACAGUCGAAAUAGAUUACCUGCAAAGGUCACUUUACAAAUCCAAAGAAUAAUUAGACGGAAGAUUGAAACCUUCAGACUCAUUUACAAAGAGGAUUCCCGGCCUGGAAGAUAAAUGAGCAGAUUUCUGUCCAUAUUAGUGGAAUCGGGGACUGAUGGCUUCCUCCUCCAAGCUCCUCACAGCCACAAGGCCACGCACAGCUGGAAAGGUCAAUUGCAUGUUUUCAUGAAAGCCUGGGGGAAAUGGCCCCCAUGUAUCUACAUCAGUUAUUAGCCCUGCUGCCCAACCAAUUAGAUGAGGAGCACUGCGAAUCAAUCACCGAAAAAAUUGGAUUUGGAUUUCUGAGUUCUAAGCCGGAGGUUUGAGAUUCCAGAGGAGUUCCGGCAGAAUGAGAGUGAUGCAGCAGCAGAACGGUUCUCUGUUCUAGUGCUGGGAGAAUCUGCAGACGCACCAUCAGCAAAGGACCUCCUCUCCAACAUCUACAGGAAACCUCUCCACUCUUCCCUUUCACUCCACUAUCCUUCUGUUCAGUCACCAGAUUACUGCCAGGUCUAAAGACGAUCCCCAUUCAGAUGGUUUCCAGCUGGUUUUGGGGCUGAAAAGGCUCCGCCCCCUUCCAGCCACACCUCAGUUUGUUGUUCUGACUCUGUGACACAGUCACUACGUACAUUUUCUGCAAUGUCCACGGUUGUAAACUGGUCAAAUGUGAAUAUAUGUGGAAAAAAGUGAGAAAAGUUGUG